rnacentral:piRNA from 1 species
UUUGAACAUGUGUCUCACUCUGAGUGUAA